GACCGGGCCCGCCGGACGGGUGGCCCGUGAACUUGGUCAGGGCUUGACCGCAGCAGCCAUAAGCGGCGUCGUCCGAGCCAGCGGUGUCCUGGUCGUC
rnacentral:SRP_RNA from 1 species